rnacentral:rRNA from 1 species
AGUCACUGACAUUAGAUACCCGGGUAGUCCCAGCCGUAAACUAUGCGCGUUAGGUGUACUGGUGACCACGAGUCACCGGGGUGCCGAAGGGAAACCGUGAAACGUGCCGCCUGGGAAGUACGGUCGCAAGGCUGAAACUUAAAGGAAUUGGCGGGGGAGCACCACAACAGGUGGAGCCUGCGGUUUAAUUGGAUUCAACGCCGGACAUCUCACCGGAUAAGACAGCUGAAUGAUUGUCAAUCUGAAGGUUUACAUGACUAGCUG